UUACUAUGUCCCUCCCCUCCUCUGUACAGUCACGUGCAAGCACGAACACCGGGGUGCGUAGACUGUAGUGUAGUGGCUUCUCACAGUGUUGUGAAGACGGAAGUGACGGGAGGAUUUCUCUCAGGCACCUUUUUGGAAAUAGUUGCAUGAAAAUAUCGCCGCUUGCCCAGAUAUGUCCGUUGCAUACAAAAACAGAAUACAGGACUUCAAAGUAGCUUUGACAGAAGAAAACAUAAACUUGCAAACACUGAGGGAGCUGUGCUUCAAUGGAAUUCCCUUUGAAGGAGGCAUACGGGCACUUAGCUGGAAGAUCCUUCUUAAUUACCUUCCUCUUGAUCAGACACAAUGGGACUCGUUCCUCAAAAAGGAGAGGUAGGCUAAACAUUGUACGUGUUCAAUGCAACACUGCUUAUGAUUGGAUGGAGAUUGC